rnacentral:rRNA from 1 species
GACGAACGCUGGCGGCGUGCUUAACACAUGCAAGUCGAACGGUAAGGCCCUUCGGGGUACACGAGUGGCGAACGGGUGAGUAACACGUGGGUGAUCUGCCCUGCACUUCGGGAUAAGCCUGGGAAACUGGGGCUAAUACCGGAUAGGACCACUGCCUGCAUGGGCGGGGGUGGAAAGCUUUUGCGGUGUGGGAUGGGCCCGCGGCCUAUCAGCUUGUUGGUGGGGUGAUGGCCUACCAAGGCGACGACGGGUAGCCGGCCUGAGAGGGUGACCGGCCACACUGGGACUGAGAUACGGCCCAGACUCCUACGGGAGGCAGCAGUGGGGAAUAUUGCACAAUGGGCGCAAGCCUGAUGCAGCGACGCCGCGUGAGGGAUGACGGCCUUCGGGUUGUAAACCUCUUUCAGCACCGACGAAGCGCAAGUGACGGUAGGUGCAGAAGAAGGACCGGCCAACUACGUGCCAGCAGCCGCCGUAA